GCCGAAGUAGUUCAAUGGAAGAACACUACUUUCGUAAAGUAGGAAUGUGGGUUCGAUUCCCACCAUCGGCU
rnacentral:tRNA from 1 species